GGUAAUAUAGAUGCAAAUUUAAGGGAUUACUUUAAAAAAAUUUAAGUAAUAGUGAUGAGCAAUUCAGUUGCAAAUUAGGGGGUUAUUUUAAAUAUUGUUUAUAAUGGCCGAAGUGGGUAAUUUUGACGAAGAUUAGGGGUUGCUUUAGUUUAUUUUAUAUAAUGGUAUAGGUAGGUAAUUUAUAUAUAGAUUUAGUGGGUUACUUUAGGCUAUUUUUAUAAUGGUAUAGGUGGGUAAUUUUUUAAAAAUAUAAUAGAUCCAAUGGCUAUGAUGAUUUGAAUCUAUCUAUUGAUGGUCGGAUGUUUUGCUUUUUUUGAGAAUUUUUAGGAUUUCUCUCUUUUUCCAAAGUGUCCACCUAGGAAUCCUAGGUGGCUUCACCUAGAUGCUUCAAAAGGAACCUUCAAUUAGUAAUAGUAAGAUAAGAUACUCAUACUGUCAUACGAAUAAUAUAUACCAUGUUUUUAUGUUUUUAUAUCUCUUUUCAGGUAUAAUAAUUCUAUCUUGGAUAAUCAUAUGCCAACACCCACGAGUUCAUUGUUAUGUAACUAAUUCUACCGAACUUAUCUCCUUC
rnacentral:lncRNA from 1 species